UUUUUCCUCCACAAUCGCCGCACGCCGCUUCCUCCGCGCGCCGCACGCGGUCGCCCGUCGCGAUGCCACGCCGCCCACCACGGCACGCGACCACGCCGCACACAUGCGACACGCCGCCCGCCGCGACGCCACGCCGCCGUGCGACCAAUCGCUUGGCCGUGGAUGCCGCCGCCGCACGCACGCGACCACGCCGCCGGCCAUGACACCACGCCGCCGCACCGCCAUGCAAGACGACCACGGAGAACAUCCACGGCGCGACCAAUCGCCUCCACGCCGCCGCACGUGAUGGCGACGCGAUCAUGCCGCGAUGACAGCGCACCAUCGGAGGCCGGGACAUCGCCGCGGCACUACGCGAGGGCCCAGACAUCAGAACCGCCUUUACCGAAGGCCCCUUCAUCGCGCGUCCUCCCAAGACAUCGCAGUUGCACUGUGCGAGGCCCCAGACAACGGAGCUGUUUCCUCCCCGCGGUGGGGUGGGGGCGCUACGCACCACCACCGGCGGUGGGCGCCGGCCCGGUGCUGUGCGUCCCCAUCCGAGCGAGCCUCCACACACAGGUCUUAGUUAUCUGAGUUUGAAGUUACGCAAGUUGUGAUGCAGGUGAACAGAUCAAAUAGGGGAUUCAGUGUACUCCAGGAUGACCCUUUUGCUAUGCACACGGACCCUAAAGGCAACUUUAAGAUCGAGCAGAGGAUAUCUUGAAUUCUUGGUCGGAGCUUGAAGUUGAAUGUAUCCUGCGUGACCACGUGAAGGAAAGCAAUUGGCAAUUCCUUCAGAAGCAAAUUGUAAAAGCCUGGGAAAUGGGUGGUAUGCACUCUUCUCGGAAUCUUGUCAAACUAAUUCAAAAAAAGUGUACCAUCUCAAAAUAUUUUCUCAUUUCAGUUUGAAUACUCUUUGCUUUCUGCACUUAGUAUGCUUAUGACUCAGGUUGAUUGCACUAUAUGCAUCCUGUUACAUGAUGCUUUUUGAAACUUCUUUAGUUCUUAAUGAAAAACUAGAUGAGACAACAGUGAUUGCUUACAUUGAGCAAGUGGUAUUAGGCAAAUGAGUAAUCCUCAGUUGUGCAUCUUGUUUUUUUUUUCACUUGAACCAUCUUAAUUCUUCUUUUAUUUACAUGUUUUGAUAUUCAUUCAUAAUUCAUAACUAGAGAUGAGGAGUAAUUUCCAGCUGCAUACCUUACCACUCUAGGUCUGCAUAGUAUUGUAUCAUCUCUUCAUAGAAACACAUCAAGAUUUGCUUCUUCAUACUAAUCUGAUGAAACAAAGUAAAUACGCUAUUGCCAUAGGAUAAUGCAUGUUUUACUGAAGUGAAUUAGUGGAUGAUUUGCUAAAUUGUUGCAUUCUUUAUGGAGCUAAACAUUAAAUUAUUCCUUUCCUUCACCUCGCAACCACCAUCGCCAUCACAAUGGGCAUAAGUAAUUUCAUGUUUCCAGGACUUCCAUGACGCCCUUGUUGUGUUCUAGGGACCUGCCGCCGCUGGGUGCGAAUUUAGCUAGGAUUUUUUUUAAUUUUUUUUCCUUUUCUUACCUACUUCAUAAGGGGGAUUAUUUAGAUUUAGAAUGGAGUGGAUUGCUAUAUUUUUAAUAUGAAAAUAAUUUAGUUGUUUUAGUAAUUGUUCAAUGUAAUUCAACUUUUCUUUGUUAUAUCAAUUUUUAGUCUCA